GUUUUAUUGCCUGGGCCACAUUGACUGGGGAGGAAUCGUCUUGGACUGCCAACAAAAUAUAUAAUGUAGCUCAUUUCUCAAGCCUCUCAUGAAGAACACGGUGACAUGCUUAAGUGCCAAAGAAGAAGGAAGGCACGCUGAUGAAAAACAGACAUUGCAGCCAUUAGCAUCGAUCAGCAAUUGAUCAGUGUAUAUGUAAGCAAAGAGGCUGGACUGUUCAACAAGUUUUACUGUUCUUCCUGAACACAGCAUUGUGGCUUUUAAGAGAUAAUCAGAAGCUUUGAAAAGAGCCAGUACACCAUUCCCACUGAACUGCAAAACUUAGGAGGACAAUUAUUUAGCUCUGCCAGCAGACACCAGCCCAGUUCUUGUUCUACCCAAAGGUCCUCUAGCCAUUAAACUGACAUUGCAAAGCUAUUCAAGAGUGAUAGCCUACAUAGAGCAACGUCAGCCUGAGAUACUCAAAACUCACUUCAUUUGUGACCCAAGUCAUAUUUGCAUUGCCAUCUACAAAAGUAAGACUAAAAAAUACUGUAGAACAGAGUUGAAAUUACCAGCUAUGACACAUUCUAUACCUAAUUCUUUUAUAAUAAAAACAUUCUGCAUCACAAGGUCUUUUGCUCAUUGUCCUCCAAGUUUAGAAAUAAGAUACUCCACCAAUCAUGUCUCUUAGAUGUGCAUCUCUCAGAAAGAUUUGUGAAUUUGGAUGUUUCUUUGGCAUUGGGAUCUCAAUAGCUCAACACAUUCUUGCAUCAACAGCAGAUUUUCUAAUGUGCAGAUGUUCUAACAGCAUAAGCAGGAUACUUAAG
ensembl:lncRNA